UCCAGUACAACUAUUGUGCGUCACAAAAAAAACGAACACGUGACCACGUGGGAUGGGAGCCGAAGGACGCUGCCGCGAGCGGCCCACUUUGGCGCGCUCAGAGAGCUCGCGAGGGAGGUGCGAACGCACCUCUUUGUCUUUUUUUUUCUUUUUUUUUUCCCGGACCCGGUGCGGUGGAAACGGACGUUCGUGAUAAAAAAAGGCUUUUCAACUGGAAUAUUAGCCCUUUCCUCGUCAGUUUUCCUGACUGUCUUGUUCCUUGCUAGCAAAGCCAAGCGACCGCACCUGCUGUUGAUCAGCAUGACCACAGUUAUAAAGGGAAUGCCUCCAGACAGGGUUGUGGAAUCUUACAACGCUGGUCUGCCUGGCUUGUGAUUCAGCGGCCUACUCUCUACUCCCUACUCCCAGCUUCUGACCCCUGCUUGCUGACUCGGUUACUGAGAUCUACUUUGCCCUGGAAAACGACGUCCGCACCUCGGGAGACCCACACCUGUCCCCGACCUCCGUUCUCUGUCUCAUCCCAUGACUGCACCAAAAUAAAUGUACCCGCACUUGGGUCCA